CGCGAAUUCGCCCUUCGGAAGAGGGAGCAUGAGAAACCCUUACCACAUCCUUGGAAGGCAGCAGGCGCGCAAAUUACCCAUUCCCGACACGGGGAGGUAGUGACAAUAUGUAACAAUAUACGGCUUUAUUGUCGUAUAAUUGGAAUGAGUACAAUUUAAAUCCCUUAACGGGGAACAAUUGGAGGGCAAGUCUGGUGCCAGCAGCCGCGGUAAUUCCAGCUCCAAUAGCGUAUAUUAAAGUUGUUGCAGUUAAAAAGCUCGUAGUUGGACCUUGGGCCUGGACAGGCGGUCCGCCUCACGGCGUGUACUGUCUUGCUGGGCCUUUCCUCUUGGUGAUCUGUGGUUUCGGCCGCAGGGAACCAGGACCUUUACUUUGAAAAAAUUAUAGUGUUCAAAGCAGGCUUUACGCCCGAAUAUAUUAAGCUGGAAUAAUAAAAUAGGACGUGCGGUUCUAUUUUGGUGGUUUUUGGGAUUGCCCUAAUGAUUAACAGGGAAAGUCCGGGGCAUUAAUACU
rnacentral:rRNA from 1 species